rnacentral:rRNA from 1 species
GGGAACAUACCCUUUUCUACGGAGUAGCUCUGGGAAACUGGAAUUAAUACCGUAUACGCCCUACGGGGGAAAGAUUUAUCGGGGAAGGAUUGGCCCGCGUUGGAUUAGCUAGUUGGUGGGGUAAAGGCCUACCAAGGCGACGAUCCAUAGCUGGUCUGAGAGGAUGAUCAGCCACAUUGGGACUGAGACACGGCCCAAACUCCUACGGGAGGCAGCAGUGGGGAAUAUUGGACAAUGGGCGCAAGCCUGAUCCAGCCAUGCCGCGUGAGUGAUGAAGGCCUUAGGGUUGUAAAGCUCUUUCACCGGUGAAGAUAAUGACGGUAACCGGAGAAGAAGCCCCGGCUAACUUCGUGCCAGCAGCCGCGGUAAUACGAAGGGGGCUAGCGUUGUUCGGAAUUACUGGGCGUAAAGCGCACGUAGGCGGAUAUUUAAGUCAGGGGUGAAAUCCCAGAGCUCAACUCUGGAACUGCCUUUGAUACUGGGUAUCUUGAGUAUGGAAGAGGUAAGUGGAAUUGCGAGU